CAGCACCUCAAGUGGUCAGGAUGAUUAUUGGGCCUAAAGCAUCCGUAGCCUGUUCUGUAAGUUUCCGGUUAAAUCCAUUAGCUCAACUAAUGGGCUGCCGAAAAUACUGCAGAACUAGGGAGUGGGAGAGGUAGACGGUACUCGGUAGGAAGGGGUAAAAUCCUUUGAUCUAUUGAUGACCACCUGUGGCGAAGGCGGUCUACCAGAACACGUUCGACGGUGAGGGAUGAAAGCUGGGGGAGCAAACCGGAUUAGAUACCCGAGUAGUCC
rnacentral:rRNA from 1 species